rnacentral:rRNA from 1 species
UGACCGCUGGCGGCGUGCCUAAUACAUGCAAGUCGAGCGAACAGACGAGGAGCUUGCUCCUCUGACGUUAGCGGCGGACGGGUGAGUAACACGUGGAUAACCUACCUAUAAGACUAGGAUAACUUCGGGAAACCGGAGCUAAUACCGGAUAAUAUAUUGAACCGCAUGUUUCAAUAGUGAAAGACGGUUUUGCUGUCACUUAUAGAUGGAUCCGCGCCGCAUUAGCUAGUUGGUAAGGUAACGGCUUACCAAGGCAACGAUGCGUAGCCGACCUGAGAGGGUGAUCGGCCACACUGGAACUGAGACACGGUCCAGACUCCUACGGGAGGCAGCAGUAGGGAAUCUUCCGCAAUGGGCGAAAGCUUGACGGAGCAACGCCGCGUGAGUGAUGAAGGUCUUCGGAUCGUAAAACUCUGUUAUUAGGGAAGAACAAAUGUGUAAGUAACUAUGCACGUCUUGACGGUACCUAAUCAGAAAGCCACGGCUAACUACGUG